UACGUAGGGGGCAAGCGUUGUUCGGAAUUACUGGGCGUAAAGGGCGCGUAGGCGGCACAGCAAGUCGGGAGUGAAAGCCCGGGGCUCAACCCCGGAACUGCUUUCGAAACUGCUGAGCUAGGGUACAGAAGGGGCAACCGGAAUUCCCAGUGUAGCGGUGAAAUGCGUAGAUAUUGGGAAGAACACCUGAGGCGAAGGCGGGUUGCUGGGCUGAUACUGACGCUGAGGCGCGAAAGCGUGGGGAGCAAACAGG
rnacentral:rRNA from 1 species